rnacentral:rRNA from 1 species
UACGAAGGGGGCUAGCGUUGCUCGGAAUCACUGGGCGUAAAGCGCACGUAGGCGGAUUUCUAAGUCAGGGGUGAAAUCCUGGAGCUCAACUCCAGAACUGCCUUUGAUACUGGGGAUCUCGAGUCCGGAAGAGGUGAGUGGAACUGCGAGUGUAGAGGUGAAAUUCGUAGAUAUUCGCGAGAACACCAGUGGCGAAGGCGGCUCACUGGUCCGGUACUGACGCUGAGGUGCGAAAGCGUGGGGAGCAAACAGG